AAAUUAAAAAACAAAAUCCAAAUGCUCUUAGCCUAAUCUCUUCAUCCCCAUCUCUUCGUCCAACAACUUUGACUCCCUCUCUCUCAAUCUACUCAUAGUGGCUAUUACUCUCUCUUGGUGUGCCCAAAUUAGUUGUACUCCAUCUCCGCCGCUGCUAUUGUUUCUAUUCCGUCUCCACUGCUGCUGCUACUCCGUCUCCACCGUUGCUGCUUCGUCUCUGCCAUUGCCGCUACUGCUCUCUCUGCUCCAUCUCUACUAUUGUGAGUUAUUGGUUUUUUUUUUUAUUUGAGUAAAUUUUUAGUAAUUAUUAUUUCUUUUGUUAAUGUGGUUUUAUUCUUGUUUAGAAUUAAUUAUCUUUUUGUGGUGGAAAAUCGUGCAAAUGCAUACUAUCUACCAUUUUGAUGUUGAGUUUCACAGCAAAACAUUUGGGGGUUGUGAGUCAUCGAGAGUAUUGGUUGCCCUUGUCUAAUUCCAUUGUCAUUUUAUUUAAUAUAUUAGGGACCCAAAGCAUAUUAAUGCAAAAAUUAUGGAGAUUAGGAUGAAUUGAUCAUAAUAAUAUCAUACUGCAUUCAUUUAGAUGCGAUUGUUUCAGUGUCCAUUGCCUUGAAUUCAUAUGAUUUCAUUGUUCUUAAUUUUUUGUUGUGCUGUGAAAAAAUGAGUUAAAAAAAAAAUAACAAGAGCGUGGUCUUGAUUUGAAUUGGUCAAUUUAUAGUAUAAUAUAUUUGAUUUUGAUAUGUCCAAUUUUGAAUCUAUGACAUGUUGCUGAAAUUUUCAUGCUAUGUUAAAUUUGAUUAAUUCCUAAUGUUUAAGCUAUGUGUAUGUAGGAGCAUUUUCUUUAAUUUGAUUAAUAAUAUGUAGAUAGGUAGAUAGAUAGAUAGAUAGUAACAUUCAAUUUUAAUUUAUGACAUGUUGCUCAAAUGGCUUUCAUGCAAUGUUGAAUUUGAUUAAUUUCAAAAUGCAAGUGAUAGGUUGCGGUUGAGGACUUUGAUGUGGAAGAUAUAGCUACCAAUGAAGAAGGAGAUAUUAGUAGGUCAUUUACUAAUAUUGAUUUAUCUCUAGAAGUGUUGUAAAGAUAAAUGAUACAAGAGAUCGAAUUGCAACUUUUAUGUAGUAUGAUUACGCAUGUAAUGCAUGAUGUUUAUCAUGUAAUUUUUUAUAAUUAUUUUGUUUAAAUCAUGUGUUGUAAUUUUUAUCUUAAUUAUAGUGUAAAAGUAAUGACAAUAUAAAUUUUUUUAUUAAUGCUAAUACUAAAAUUUUAUCAUCAUGUGAUUUUUUUAUAAUUAUUUUGUUUAAAUCAUUUAUGGUAUGUUUAUGUAUGUAUUAAUUCAACAAUUAUUUUCUAACUAUAAAUAUAACUCAAAUAUUUAGUAAAAACUGUUUUUCAAAAUGAUACUACCGAACACAUAUUCAUUAUUUUAAUCAUUUUCAAUUGUCUACCGAAUGCAUAUUAAUGUUUUUAGUUUUAAAAUACAAAAUACAAGAUACAGAAAAUAAUAUCAGACGCAUACUUAACAAUUACAAAAUACUAUUUUCAUUCUCAUUUUUAAUUUUAGAAAAUAAAAAUUCAAAAACAAUACCAAAUAGGCCCUUAGCCUUCUUAAUU
rnacentral:lncRNA from 1 species